UUCUCUCUCACAUUGAUGGUUUUCUUUCUCUUUCUCUCUAAAAAUCAAUAAAAACAUAACCUCGGGUGAGGAUUAAAAAAAGAGAGAGAUCCAGCAUUCUGUGGUACAGCUGUAAGAAUUAAGCAUAGUGACUUUCCCAAGAUCAGUAGAAAUGGUAUGUACUAUUUCUUCCAUGCUAUUCCUGUUAAUUUAGUGAGAUUUCAGCCCUGUUGAAAUUUAUUUUAACUCUCUAUGCUCACUGGAAUGGGAAUGCCAACAUUUGAUCUCUCGUCCUGCCAUGUGUAACUCCAAGAGCUCAAGUUACAGGGCUUCAUGUGGCACUUGAUGUUCAGCCUAAAAACAUUUCAUUGAAUUUGGAUGCUAACUUUCAAGACUCCAAAAAUCAUUUAAAUAGAUUGCAGUUAACUCCUAGAAGCUCCUACAUGAAGAUUCAAGAAUUAAAGGCAGGUGCCCUGGCUGGUGUGACUCAGUUGGUUGGAGCGUCAUCUCGUACACCAGAAGGUGGCAGGUGAAGAAUUAUAGUUCUCAUGGUCUUUGUGUAGUUGGCUCUUUGAUUUGAUCCCACACACUUAAGCCAUAGGCAUGAGCUUGAGAAUGGUGCAAUUAAAGAGAGGACCUGCUAGGUCUGGUUAGAUCUGUGGUCACCGUCAAACAAGAAUUAUUUUCUGAGGUCACAGACUGCAACUCCCAAACCUCAUCAUGAUCCCAGUGUGUUGGCUAUUUCAAGAGGAUCAGAC